rnacentral:rRNA from 1 species
GAUGAACGCUGGCGGCGUGCCUAAUACAUGCAAGUCGAGCGAACAGACGAGGAGCUUGCUCCUCUGACGUUAGCGGCGGACGGGUGAGUAACACGCGGAUAACCUACCUAUAAGACUGGGAUAACUUCGGGAAACCGGAGCUAAUGCCGGAUAAUAUAUUGAACCGCAUGGUUCAAUAGUGAAAGACGGUUUUGCUGUCACUUAUAGAUGGAUCCGCGCCGCAUUAGCUAGUUGGUAAGGUAACGGCUUACCAAGGCAACGAUGCGUAGCCGACCUGAGAGGGUGAUCGGCCACACUGGAACUGAGACACGGUCCAGACUCCUACGGGAGGCAGCAGUAGGGAAUCUUCCGCAAUGGGCGAAAGCUUGACGGAGCAACGCCGCGUGAGUGAUGAAGGUCUUCGGAUCGUAAAACUCUGUUAUUAGGGAAGAACAAAUGUGUAAGUAACUAUGCACGUCUUGACGGUACCUAAUCAGAAAGCCACGGCUAACUACGUG